rnacentral:rRNA from 1 species
UGACCUACGGGAGGCAGCAGUGGGGAAUGUUGGGCAAUGGAGGCAACUCUGACCCAGCAACGCCGCGUGAAUGAUGAAGGUCUUCGGAUUGUAAAGUUCUGUGAUGGGGGAUGAACACAAUGACGGUACCCCAAUAGCAAGCCACGGCUAACUACGUGCCAGCAGCCGCGGUAAUACGUAGGUGGCAAGCGUUAUCCGGAAUGACUGGGCGUAAAGGGUGCGUAGGCGGCCUGCUAAGUCUGGAGUGAAAGGUACCGGCUCAACCGGUACAGGCUCUGGAAACUGGCGGGGUAGAGGGCAGGGGG